UAGGAUAUAAUUUUGGCCAUUUUAAGUCAGCUCUACUAAUUCUGUUCCUUCCCAGCUCCUUGGGCCCUUCCCUGCGAAAGGCCUUGGCUCUGUACAACACUGCUUAUUAGCAAAUACAAGCAUUGGUGUGUUAUCAACUAUCAACAUUGUUUUUCUCCAGGAAGCAAAACAUAACUUCAUACCAGACACUCUGAAUAAAACAAUUCCAUCCCAGCUGAAACUAAGACAUAAGAAAUUCCAAGCACAGUAUUUAAUAUCCCAAUUAAAAAUUAAUCUUUCAUUCCAAGAACAACAACAAAAUCAUGGACAAUUUUCUAUCAGGUAUUGGUCUGAAAAAAUAAAAUUUGUGUUUUGUUGCUCUCCACCCCCCUCAUCCCACCUUAAGAGACAAAAUCAAAGAAUAUUCAAUUGGGAAUCAGUUUCUCUUAGACACUGUUCUCUAGAACACCUUUAGAAAGUUGAGGGUUUUUUUCUGUCUCAGAUUAAGUAUUUUGAUUUGAAUUUUCCAUAUCUCUUUGUUCUCCACACAACCUCCCAAAAUUGAAGGUGCUCAAAGCAGACAAACUCCAGCACUGUCAUAUCAAAGCUUUUUAGAGCUCUCAAAGUGGAAAAGUUUAAUAUCAAAAUAUCUUGAAUUAGUUCAUUUAUUCAAUGAAAUUUAUAAUAUAUUGUUUAUUUGCAAAGUAAGUUUAAUUUUAGAUCAUGGGGAGUUUUGCUUUUACUAAAUUCAGUUUUACAGAGAAGUUCAGCAACUCAAGUACUGUGAUCUGAGAGAAACAGAUCUAAUUCCUUAAAAAUAAUUAUUUUUUGUACGUUAUGCAAAUCAACAUCUCUAAAAACAAUCACCAAAUCCUAUUUCUAGCUGCUCAGCCACAAGGCAGGAAAUUUUGUAGCUUCAUGUACAGACUUUAUACAUGAUGUUAUGCACAAAAGACAUCAUUCACAGAGAUAUUUUCUUAUAAACAAGUUUCUCUGCUAGUGAUUACUAGCAGUACUGGUUGGCAAUAAAAGGCACCUACUCAUGUUUGAUAUUCUCUUGUCACCCAUUUGCAGCAAUAGACUGCCUUUUCACUUCCUUUAUAAACUGUUCUGACACAUGGGGCACAGUGGGAGACUGCUUUCCACUCAACUGUUUUCUCUCUCUCUCUCUCUCUCUCUCUCUUUUUUUUUUUUUUUUUUUUUAACUGUAAUUAGCAUAUUUGUAAUAUCCUUUGUUCUAAGAAUCGAUUUUCCUUCUCUCUCAAAAAGAAAGGGCAUUACAGGACAGUGCCAAAUGAAAUGAAUGUUCUGCCACUCCACCUGGAGUUCAGGCCUGCUCUUCUACUGUUAGGUCCUCAUGCCAGGAGAACUUGUUUUCAGGUCCCAGCUGGGCAAACUUACACCAAAUUAAGAGUUCUCAGCCAAGCUAAUCAGCAGACAACAGGCUCCCACACAGCAGUAUUACCACUUCUGCUACACUAAGCAAAUGUAAAAAGCACUGAAGUAUGAAACUGUAGCAAUUUACAGCUCACUUCAGGGGUCUGAACUAUUUACAGCUUUGAAGAGAAGAGUUGGGCCAAGUUAAAACAGGGAUCAUUGAGUGCUGAAUUUCCCUAAUGGGAGGAGAAACUGUUAUGUACUGAACCUGUCAGUAAGCAACCUAUCUCAGUUAUGCAGGUCUUCUGCUUUGUGAUACCAUUUUGUAUUCUUUUGAAACAAAAAAUAUGACCAGGGCAAAAUUUCUUGUAACUAAUUGUGUUAGACACCUUAUGGCAUUGACAUAUUGUCAGCUAUUUUGUACAUGUAAGUAUUUUGUAUAUCAGAAAUCCUAUUCCUGUGGCUAUAGGAUAUGUUAUCCUCACAACAUAAACUAGUAUUUUUAUUAACAGUUUCUAGAAUUAGUAUCUGGAGACAGAUAAAUAUGAAGAUAAUUCUCAGAACUAAAUAGGUCUGUCCAAAACUCUCAGAACAGAAUCUCUUUAGUCUGCUCAAUAGAGGAGGUACCAGGGCUAUUAAGCUUUCUAGGAGUUGUCUCUAAAACAUGUUUAGAAAUAGUUUACAUUUCUACAUAAGCAGAAGGAGGGAAUAAACUUUUGUUCAAAGACAAAACAAAAGUUAAAAAUGUAAUUAUUUGUUAAAUUAUCAAUUCAGUACACACAAUUGCAACACGCACAUUAUUUUCAAAUCCAACUGUCAUCCAAAAUCCAGGAAGAAAGCCCUCUAACUCUAAUGUGGUGCUAGAAAGUGGUUUUCCUUUAUACCUCCUGAUAUGUACCCGAAAACUUGACAAAACAAGCAUGCUCUCUUAGAGUUCAGGCUCUACAUUUAAGCAUUUAAGACAUAUAUAUGCUGUACAUUGCUAUGCAUAUUGAUUCCUUUCCAAGAAUUCAUCAAUAUAUGCUAAUGUCCCUCUGGGCACGCAUGAUAGUGGCCUUCAGCGACUUAUUUUAUCCCCAUUUCACCACCAUCAGCUUUAUCAAAAAUAAUUUUGGCUGAUCUUUAGCUGUUUUCUGCUCAAUUUAGCAAACUUCCAUUGCUUGUUGGUGUCUCCAAUUUAUAGGAGGGAGAGGAGGUUCUUUGAUGUAUGUGUACCUGGCGUGAGAUUAAGAAACAACGGUUCAAAUGUUGGUCUGACCAGUUUAUUACAAAUGUUAAUAAGGGAGAUGAAGAAAGGGGAGGACGGACACUAUUACAGAUUGGGGUGAUGGGGAAGAGAAGGCGAGUGAUAGAAAAGAUAAGAAGAAGCAAGAAUUGCGUGAAGCAGGGAUAGUCACCACCAGGAUCCAGCAGUAGACCCAUUGCACUCUGUUCCGAUGGUCUGAGGCCGAAGGGCAGGAGCAGUGAGGCUGGUCUUGGGCAAUGAGAGCGUGCAGGUACUGGGUGGUUCCAGGAAGAAGCCACAGAGUAAGUCCAGGAGGAAGCAGCAGGUCUCAGGUAUCAGGCCCAGGAAAGUCCGUCAGCAUGCAGUCCGUAGUGAGGGAUCUGAUGGCAGACACCUCGAGUCCAUCAGCAUACAGGCCUUCUGUAGUGAGGGAUCUGAUGGCAGAAACCUUGUGUCCGUCAGCAUUCAGGACUUUCGCAGUGAGGGAUCUGAUAGCAGAAACCUCUCCUCAUGGUUGUUGGACCCUCUUUUAUCCUCCUUUUUUCCUGCCUAUGCGACAUCCCUGGGUGCUUGAGCAAGAGUCAUGUGCAUACCUCCUGAGAUGGCCAUCUUCCUCGAGAUAAGUCCGCACAAAAGACCCUUUCUCGGCCAUUAUCAGCAGCUUAUCCUUCUGUUGUUGCCCCUGGACUUGUCCACCUGUGCUCCUUAAAGGAUUUCACAACCCUUAGCCAGGACCUGUCCAUCAGUGUCCUCCAGACAGAAAUUUCUCUACUUUUGCCCAGGACUUGCCUGGACUUGUUCCUCAGCAAACUUUGAAUCAAUUAUAUAAAAGAAUAAUCUCUUACAGUUAGACCAUAUUAAACAACUUCAAAAAUAAUACAGGUGAAAUAUGAGGAAGAUGUCCUUGCAUCUGGUGGGUGCAAAAAGACAAAAGUAGUCUAUUAUGACUCCAGUGUUUUUUGUGAGUCAGAAUCAUUGAGGAAACAAGGCUGUUCAUAUGCCAAGCAAAGUUGAAACGGAAAGUUUUAGAACUAGUACUCAUUAGUUCCUUCUACUAAACUAAUAUAUUGAUCCUUCAAGUAAUAUAAGGAUUCCAGUUGUUAAACAAACAAACCUAUAUCACAGCUACAGGGAGUCCAGGAUCAAAAAGCAUUUAACAUCCCUGAGAAAACAUUCCUCAUCCCAAAUCUCUUUCUACACUUUUUUUUUCACUCCACUUUUAGAAACCUAGACAAGACAGUCCUCUUGCUUGUAUUUAAUUACAUAAGCCAUUUUUUUUUCACAAUCUAUACAUAUAUAAACAGAUAUUGACAUACAUGUAUAUUAGAAGAUCAUAAAAUUACAAUGAAGUUUCUUGUGUCAGUGUUUGCAGAACUAUAACCAUUACCAGCACGUUGUUUUUAAAACACUGCCCUUCAAACCUCUCUUCAAAUAAAGAUAUUCCAAACACCAGCAAGAACAAAAUAUUAUAAAUGAUUCAAAUAAAUACUUUUAAUAUAUGACUUCAUAUUAUCAGUAAUUUCUCUGGGUCCUCAAACCUUUAACCAUUCCUACAAUGCGUAGAAACAUUGUCAUAGAAAAUUGUGAAGUUUUUUGUAAGUAGAGUAUAGACAAUCUCUCAACAUACUGUUCUUUAAUUAAGGCUUCCUCUGAGGCAUUGUUCUGCUAAUAGUCCUUCCAGAUCCUUCACUGAUGAGUGUAAGCCACUCAUCUCCCAGCCACAGACCUUGAACAAGCAGUCAAGAUAAACUCCAUUUUAAAUUUAAGCAAACAAUCCAUGAUAAGGCACAAAGCCUGCAAAUCAUUUCUGUACUGUAAAUACAAUUGUGAAGGCCUCUAAUGCAACAUGCAGCUUGCUACAAAGACCACCUGACUGAUCCGUCAGUGUAGUAAUCUUGUCAACAGACAAAUGAGUCAGUCACUUGCACUGUUUGCAGCAUAGCAUUGGCUGCAUAGCACUUGUAGAACUUUUGGGGUGUCAAGCCAGUAAAAACAAACAAACUAAAUACUUGCGGUAAACUUGCAGAACAGAAGACCACAAAGUAAAAGAGAAAUACAUUAGACCAUUGAUACAAACAAUGAGUUUUCUUCAAAAUUAGUUUAAGACCUUAUAUUCAAAAGCGAAGUUUAGAAAAAUAUGUGAAAAUGCAUCUUUAGGUGUCACGGUACUAGAAGAGUGUCAUGGAAGAACUGCUUAAGUUUGAAAAUACGUGCAAUGUAAGUUGUGAUUAAAUAUGACGCCUUUACAGGCUAACCUCAGACAUCUACUACAGCAAAACCUUAGGAUACCCUGGAUACAGUAUUUUUAAACAGAGGGAAGGAAGUGUUAGGUCAGCAAACGGAUACUAAAGAUUUAAACAACUUAGGUAGUACCCAUAGAUUAAAAACAAGAUCCUUAUAACCACACCACUCUGUAUAUUUUUUGAUUAUACGCCAACAAAGACCCUUUGCAAGAACCCCUUCACUGAACAGGAGUGUAGGUGCAAUGUUAGAUUUAGUAUGCGUGAUGAUUCUGAGAAUAGGUGGUGUAGGGAAAGGCAAUAGCAGAUAACAAGUUUUAAACAACCCAAAAAAAGGGUGACAGCCAUAAUCCUGUGGCUAUCAUGAUGUGCUCAAUCAUUGUUUCAGGCCGUGACUUAGCAAUUCCCAUACAGGUGGGAACUUCACUGAAAUUGCAUGAUUAUUCAUAUGUUAAAAAUAUAUAAGGGGGCUGAUUUAGCUCUGGUGUGUGCAUACUUUGUGAAGAAAUUCUCAUUCACCUAGUAAUGUAGUAAAGCACUGUUGACUUUCUACACUAUCAUUUGGUUUAGGGAGUUUUCUUGGUUAUGGUUUUCCAUAACAAGAUCAUUAACAGAAGUGAAAAAGUUGUAGAAAGCCCUGGAAUACUACACAGUUCUGAAAAUCUAUUAUUUAGGAAUGAUAAGGCUGGAAAACAUUCUAGGGAGAGCUAUUAAGAUCUUCAGGGGCGGCACAGGUUUUAACUACAUGAAAUAGGCUAAAAGGUGUUGUAUUGAUUAAUUUAGCAAGUAGUGUGUGUGCAAUAGCUUCUAUACAGAAAAACAUGAAAUAAAGUAAUUGGUGCGUAUAUUAAAGAAAAGAAAAGAAAGAAAAGAAAAAGAGAAAAGAAAAGAAAACAUGCAUACUUAUACAUAAAUUUCAAGUAAAAUCUGUUAAUUGUUCAGCCAAUUCAGCAAUUCUGUGAUACUGCACCAAUAGAAUGAAAAAAUAAAUAAUUUUUAAAGGGUGUCUUGUUAUGUAUGCUUUCAGGUGCUAAUCCAGGAUCCUGCAUCAUAUCAAAUAAAUAAUGAAAAAGCAAUUAAGGUUAUUUGCAUUUGGGGAGUAGUGUUCUCAACACACCAAAAUGUUGCGAUCUCCUACAGAGAGAGAAUGAAGAUGAAUGGCUUUGGUUGGUGUAUCGAACCCAUUGCAAGGUAAGACUACCGAGGCCUUCAGAAAUUUUAUAACAAAAAUGCUGUUUUUUCAAUGGCUUUCAGAAACCAUAGUUCUGUUUGCACAUACAGCCUCAAAUGAAAACACCACUGUAACAGAUAAGAUUACUUGAAAACUUAAAGUAACUUAAAUUGGUACGUCAGUCAGUGCAGCUAAGGGGCUUGAAUUCAGUUUGCAUGUAUGUUCUAACCUAACAGCAUGCAGACUGAGUGGGUAAAUUCAACAAAUCAUUAUGAUUGCCUCUAAUACACCAUGAAAAACAUCAAGUCAGUACAAAAAAAAUCUACAAAUGCUUGUGUAUUAUUCUUUGAAAGAGUAGUAAGAGGUAAGACAAAGCACUCACAGAGUGCUUUGCAAGAGUGCUUGCAAAAAAUGCAAGACAUCCAUUUAUAUGGACCCAUUGGUGUUGUUCAACAAUUAAAACUGAGAAGUAUCAUCCUGCUGAAAGAGAACUGCUUAACAAAAUAAGAAAUCCAGACCAAGACAUCUGGAAAUGGAACAGAUAAAGGAUUUGAAGUAAGUACAUCGAAGACUAGGGCUGCUUGUCCUAAAAUUUCUGGAUCUAAUAAAAAAUAAAUAAUUUUUAAAAAUGGUUGGAUAGUUAAUUAAAAUAGAUGCUUUCACUGAUACAGAUUAUGUCUUUAUGAUAUGUACUGGUGUUUCUAUACAGACAAAUUCCAUGACAAUUAUUUUUAACUAUUUAUUUAUUUUUAUUUUUCUGUCUUUCUAUGUCUUUUUGGAUCAUUUCAGGUUAAUACAGUUUUAAUUUCUCAGCUUUGCUGUAUUAAUUUUAUAUGUACUCCUCUGUGGAUUUCCUGUAAUUUGAGCGAAACGGAAUCUCCUGGUCUUUAUGCUACAGAAGACAGCGAUCCCUUACAAAGUGUUUCAAUGCACUGUAGCAUCUGAUUUAAGGGGAACAGGAUGCAAAUACAGAAAUAAAUUUAUCUUACUCCAUUUCUAAUUUAGCUGAUUAAUCCGUGUGGUACAUACAACACAACACACACAUCACCUCCUGUACUGCUGUCUGACAUUUUACAGUUUCCUUUAGCUCACCCAGAAAGCCACCGAGCCGUCUGGUGACAGAUUUUUCUUCUUUAUGAAUUCAGUGCCAUGUACUGAGAAGAACAACACACUGUCAUGCACUUCCACAGCUCCCUGUUGUGACUUCAGACACUGUUUCUCACAAAAAGUCCUCCACGGCUAUGAAUUUCAAGACUUUACUUGUGUGUAAUACACAAUGCAUUUUCAAAAUGCUAAAGAAUGUAAAGUUCUCAUUUAGAACUAAAGAUCACCUGAAGUAUUUAAUGUCCUUUCAUUACAUUAGAAGUCUUGGCAACUUUGUUUUUCAGCAGGUGGAAGUGAAGCCUAAACGUAAUAUUUACUUGGAUGCUUUAAAAGAAAAACCUUACUCUGAUAGCGACAAUAUAACUGUUGUAUAAUGCCUGGGAGGGAAAGUGCCAAAGCAUAAAAAAAUCUCCAAAGCUUAAAGACAUAUUUAUGAAUCUUAAAUGGAAGAAUUAACAGUUACAAACAUCUGGAUUUCCUUUGAAAGCUGUCUAUUAUGUUAUAGGGAUUCCCUGCUGAACUGUACAAUUCCAGAGCUGCUAUGGCCAGUACUCAGUUAUGAUAUUUGCUGUAGUUCUAGUUCUUCUGGUGGACCUUUCAUUUCAGCUAUGGAGAGGUUUCAAAAGUAAACUUUUUCUGGCUGUUCUCUACCACUGUGAUGACAUAGUAUCCAGACUGCAUGGGAGUGUCUUGAGCCUACAGAUGCAUGCACUCAGGCAAGCUUCCAAAAGACUUUGCCAAAAGUACAUCUUCCUACAAUUUGCUGCCUUACUACUGCAGAAUUAAUGCUAGUCCAGUUGAAAUGAAACAAGAUCUACAGAUAACUUGUAAAACAUAUCUACAAGGACUUUCACUGACCCUUCAUACUUUGUAGAACACCGUGUCCAGGAAGGAGAAAAAUAAUAAAAGUUUGGUGAAAAGUACUAACAGGUAAACAAAUGGACUGAAAAUUUGAAUGUCAUGGUGUAACUAGGCUCACAGAAGAUGCAAACUUCUCAAUUACAGCAAAUUCUCAAUUGCAAUUCUCAAUUGCAGCAAAAGAACCUAUGAACUUCAGAUUUGGAUCAUUGAAAAGAUGUGGUGAAGUUUACUGGCCAAAUGAAAUAUUCCCAAGACAAGUUCCAUGAAAUAUGAAGUUUUAAUACAAGAGCUGCUUCAAAAAUAAUGUUUCCCUUUUUUAUUAUGUUGGCCCACAGAGUCAGAGGUAGAUGUUGGUAGUAUGGUAGAAGAGGUUGAACUUUCACACCAUGAAGGUUUGUUGCUAUGUGACAGAUGGCAGUAGAGGGGCAGUCUGAUAAAAUGGUGUCUGCCAUGGAAAGGCAUGAGAAGAAAAAGUGUGUCAUUGAAUUUCUCCAUGCAGAAAAAAAAAAACCUGCAACCAUUGAUGGUCCUGGAUGCUUGGUGAAUGUUAAUAGAGACCAAGCAGUGGAUAUGAGCACAGUUAGGUGGUGGGUGGUGCAUUCCAACAAUGGCACUGCCAUAGCAGCUUUGAAAUAAUGGGUCAACCUCUACUGGUGCAGAUUUUUACUGGUGUGGCAUGCAAGCUCUUGUUCACUAGCUCUUGCUGGUGAAAAUGCGUAGCUAAUGAUGGUGAUUAUGUUGGAAAAUAGUGUUUUGUAGCUGAGAGUUUGCUCUAUCAAAUAGUGUUAUUGUGUUCUUUGUAUCUGUUGUAGUUUCCACGGAAAUAAAUAGGAGGCCUUACUUUUGGAGUAACCUAUGUAUUUAUAUUUCUUUUUGCACUCCUCAAGAAAUUUUGGGAGUAAUGUUAGGAUUAUGAUGAUAAAAUCGAUAAUUUCAUGAGCUAGCCCAAAAUAAUUUCAGAGAAAAAUAAUCACAUGCAAUGGAAAUACCUAUUUAUUAAGUUCCUUAUUCAUUAAUGAAAACAAAACAUUUUAUGAAAUGCCAGUUUCCUUUAUGUCUUACGUUUUUAAUUUAAGAAGGAAAUCAUUAUUAACUGCGUUUUGUACUUAAAUGGAAAUUAGCCUUGCCCGUGUAAAUGACUGCAGCAGUAAACCUGAGUAACAAGAAAUGCAUUGCUUUUCUUCUUAAAUCUGGCUUUGAAAGAAGAAAAUAAAGAUUUGUCAUCCCUUAAGGAAGCAAAUGGCCUGAUUUUGUCAUCAGUUGUCAUUUCACUCUUAACUCAAUAAAUCUUAAUCUUCAAAGUCAGUAUUGGCUUAUUAAAGAUAAACUGCAAUUCUGGAUGAUGUUUCCUCUCUUCCUGUAUUUGUUCCCAUGAAAUACACAUUACCCUUGACACAAUGGUUUUCUGUGCCUAUCCUAAGUAUCAAUUCAAUGCUAUUAAAUGCAUGUCUAAUACUAAAUAAAGCAUGCAGAUUAAGCACUCCUUAUUACAUGUACUUCAGUUUAUUGACUCACACCUUAGGUUUGUUUCUGUAUUGAGAGAGUAGUAAUUUACUGCAUGUGAUUUAUAGUUCCUAGGCAGUGGAAUGUAUAUACAUAAUGUAUUAAAUUUAAUGAAUGAUGAAAGUGUUAAAAAUUUCCGAAAUAAAAAUAGUUGUGUGUUCUUCAAAUUUAUUACUGCUUUGAAAUUAUUUUCACAAGUAUUUACAAGACUUCGUAGCAAAAGUGAAUCAUCACAGAUCCUGCAUCAGUGUUUUACAUUCACUGCAAAAUGUUGUAGACUGAAUAUCACUGAUAAUUUGACGCUGUUUUGACCCUAUUUAUUAAAGUAAUUAGGACUGAAUUCUGCUGGCUCACCAGGUUCUCCUAUUUGCUGAUGUAUCCUCAAGCUGCUAGUAGCAAUUCAGAUGCAAUGCUUUAACUCUUAUUCACUCACAUGAUGGGAAUAAAUUGUACCAUGGAUUAGGAUUAUUCACAUGCUAUAAGAACUGAAUCUACAACAUUUUCUCAAGUAUUACUUUUAGACACUGCAGAUCAAGAAUCAGAAUAUCUUGAAGAAAUUCCAACAAAACCUGGAAUUUCUUGGAUUCUUUAAAAUAACAGUUCUGUAAAAAAAAAAAGAGAGUAAUAUCCUGUCUACUGAUAAAGAGUAGGAUUAUCAUCAAUAAAGAAAGCCAGAUUUCCCAGCUUGUUUAAAAGAGACAGUAUUUCUAACUAUCCAGACAAAGCUAAUAGUAAGAGGUAAUUAAUCUAUGAGUUAAUCAAAUACAUAUUUUAGGAUUCGUUCCCUUCACUUAUACUGCCACAGUUGAAUUAGUUGUCCUUAAGAAAUAAUUUGAGUAGUGUUACUACGACAGAGUAGUACUAACCAGAAGUUCAAUCACUGUUAAUUAGUUUAUGUGAUAGUAAUAAAAAAAAAAAAAAUAGUACUAGCCUACAAUCUAGAGUUUUACCAGUUCUUUCC
ensembl:lncRNA